rnacentral:rRNA from 1 species
AUUGAACGCUGGCGGCAGGCCUAACACAUGCAAGUCGAACGAGUGGCGGACGGGUGAGUAAUGUCUGGGAAACUGCCUGAUGGAGGGGGAUAACUACUGGAAACGGUAGCUAAUACCGCAUACCAUCAGAUGUGCCCAGAUGGGAUUAGCUGGUUGGUGGGGUAACGGCUCACCAAGGCGACGAUCCCUAGCUGGUCUGAGAGGAUGACCAGCCAAACGGGAACUAGGAAACGGUCCAGACUCCUACGGAAGGAAGAAGUGGGGAAUAUUGCACAAUGGGCGCAAGCCUGAUACAGCCAUGCGGCGUGUAUGAGGAUGGCCUUCGGGUUGUAAAGUACGUUCAGCGGGGAGGCGUUACCCGCAGAAGAAGCACCGGCUAACUCCGUGCCAGCAGCCGCGGUAAUAC